AGUCUCUGUCUCGGUCCCUCCUCGGUCUCCUUGCGUUUCUAACACAAGCUUUUGCUCCCAAGGGCAGAGAUGAUAUUUUAAUAAAUGUUGCCUCCCUUUUCCAUGCGCUGAGCCCCUGGCUUCUCCCCACAGCCAUAAACCUGGUUGCUGCGUUCUCACUG